CAAACUUGUGUUACAGCCUUAGCCAGUCACUUUUGACCGGUUAAGUGAAGAAAGUGUGCAUUUUGUUACGUAUAAUGAAGUUUGGGGUGUACUUAGACACUUUUUUAAAUGUGGGAGUGUAAAAAUAAAUAGAGAAUAAAUUUGGGGUGCAAAUUAUCUUUUAGCCUUUAUUUUAUUAUCUUCUUCCUAUUAAAUUGUAGAACCAUACUACUCAAAUAGACAAUCCAUUGAGAGGAUGUUUGGAUUGCUGACAAGUAGUCAAACUUAUUUAUAAUUAAUUUUAAUAAGAGAAAGAGUUUGGUAAUCAGAUUUAUAAAAUUGUUUAUAAUCGAUGAAAAUAAUCA
rnacentral:lncRNA from 1 species